GAUCAUUGGCUCAGGACGAACGCUGGCGGCGUGCCUAAUACAUGCAAGUAGAACGCUGAAGGAGGAGCUUGCUUCUCUGGAUGAGUUGCGAACGGGUGAGUAACGCGUAGGUAACCUGCCUGGUAGCGGGGGAUAACUAUUGGAAACGAUAGCUAAUACCGCAUAAUAGUAGAUGUUGCAUGACAUUUGCUUAAAAGGUGCAAUUGCAUCACUACCAGAUGG
rnacentral:rRNA from 1 species